CGUAGGGUGCAGGCGUUAAUCGGAAUUACUGGGGGUAAAGCGUGCGCAGGCGGUCUGCUAAGAGAGAUGUGAAAUCCCCGGGCUUAACCUGGGAACUGCGUUUCUAACUGGCAGGCUUGAGUGUGGCAGAGGGGGGUGGAAUUCCACGUGUAGCAGUGAAAUGCGUAGAGAUGUGGAGGAACACCGAUGGCGAAGGCAGCCCCCUGGGCUAACACUGACGCUCAUGCACGAAAGCGUGGGGAGCAAACAGGAUUAGAUACCCUGGUAGUCCACGCCCUAAACUAUGACAACUGGUUGUCGGGGAAGCAAUUCCUUGGUAACGAAGCUAACGCGUGAAGUUGACCGCCUGGGGAUACGGCCGCAAGGUUA
rnacentral:rRNA from 1 species